CUGCGAAUGGCUCAUUAAAUCAGUUAUCGUUUAUUUGAUAGUACCUUACUACUUGGAUAACCGUGGUAAUUCUAGAGCUAAUACAUGCUGAAAACCCCAACUUCGGGAGGGGUGUAUUUAUUAGAUAAAAAACCAACGCCCUUCGGGGCUUCUUGGUGAUUCAUGAUAACUUUACGGAUCGCAUGGCCUUGCGCCGGCGACGGUUCAUUCAAAUUUCUGCCCUAUCAACUUUCGAUGGUAAGGUAUUGGCUUACCAUGGUUUCAACGGGUAACGGGGAAUUAGGGUUCGAUUCCGGAGAGGGAGCCUGAGAAACGGCUACCACAUCCAAGGAAGGCAGCAGGCGCGCAAAUUACCCAAUCCCGACACGGGGAGGUAGUGACAAUAAAUACUGAUACAGGGCUCUUUUGGGUCUUGUAAUUGGAAUGAGUACAAUUUAAACCUCUUAACGAGGAACAAUUGGAGGGCAAGUCUGGUGCCAGCAGCCGCGGUAAUUCCAGCUCCAAUAGCGUAUAUUAAAGUUGUUGCAGUUAAAAAGCUCGUAGUUGAACCUUGGGUCUGGCUGGCAGGUCCGCCUCACCGCGUGUACUUGUCCGGCCGGGCCUUCCUUCUGGAGAACCUCAUGCCCUUCACUGGGCGUGUUGGGGACCGGACUUUUACUUUGAAAAA
rnacentral:rRNA from 1 species